UACGUAGGGUGCGAGCGUUAAUCGGAAUUACUGGGCGUAAAGCGUGCGCAGGCGGUUUUGUAAGCCAGAUGUGAAAUCCCCGGGCUUAACCUGGGAAUGGCAUUUGGGACUGCAAGGCUGGAGUGUGGCAGAGGAGACUGGAAUUCCUGGUGUAGCAGUGAAAUGCGUAGAUAUCGGGAGGAAUACCGAUGGCGAAGGCAGGUCUCUGGGCUGACACUGACGCUCAUGCACGAAAGCGUGGGGAGCAAACAGG
rnacentral:rRNA from 1 species